rnacentral:rRNA from 1 species
AGCAGCCGCGGUAAUUCCAGCUCCAAUAGCGUAUAUUAAAGUUGUUGCAGUUAAAAAGCUCGUAGUUGAAUUUCGGGAUCAAUUUGCUGGUCGUGCCUCUGGUACGUACUGGUAUUAUUGGUUUCUCCCUUCUGACGAACCAUGAUGUCAUUAAUUUGAUGUCGUGGAGAAUCAGGACUGUUACUUUGAAAAAAUUAGAGUGUUUAAAGCAGGCAUUAGCUUGAAUACAUUAGCAUGGAAUAAUGAAAUAGGACGUUUGAUCCUAUUUUGUUGGUUUCUAGGAUUGACGUAAUGAUUAAUAGGGAUAGUUGGGGGCAUUAGUAUUCAAUUGUCAGAGGUGAAAUUCUUGGAUUUAUUGAAGACUAACUACUGCGAAAGCAUUUGCCAAGGAUGUUUU